GGAGGGGGAUGCCUAAGGCAGGGCUAGUGACUGGGGUGAAUUCGUAACAAGGUAGCCGUACCGGAAGGUGUGGCUGGAUCACCUCCUUA
rnacentral:rRNA from 1 species